UACGUAUGGGGCAAGCGUUAUCCGGAUUCAUUGGGCGUAAAGCGCGCGUAGGCGGCUUGUUAAGUCAGAUGUGAAAACCGGGGGCUCAACCCGCGGCCUGCAUCUGAAACUGACAGGCUUGAGUCUGGUAGAGGAAAGUGGAAUUCCUGGUGUAGCGGUGAAAUGCGCAGAUAUCAGGAGGAACACCAGUGGCGAAGGCGGCUUUCUGGGCCACGACUGACGCUAAGGCGCGAAAGCUAGGGGAGCAAACAGGAUUAGAUACCCUGGUAGUCCUAGCCGUAAACGAUGGGCACUAGGUGUGGGGGGUCAUCGACUCCCUCCGUGCCGAAGCUAACGCAUUAAGUGCCCCGCCUGGGGAGUACGGCCGCAAGGCUAAA
rnacentral:rRNA from 1 species